GACCUGAGAAAGGAGAAGACGGAGGAAAAAUUCGCUGGGUUUAGCGGUUAAGAAAGCAAACAUAAUUGAAUAAAACUUUGAAAAUAGUUUGAACACUCUUCAAAUCAGUUGAAAGAGGGAAGGUAUUGAGUGGAUUUAGUUGUUAUUUUACUCCUGUGACGAUCGAUGGGUUGAUUACAUCGUUGUAUUGCUGGAAAGUGAAUAUUUGGACGUGGUCAGGUUUUUUUCCCUGAGUGGAGACUGAUUUUCUUUGAUGGCGAGCCAACCGAUUCGAACACUGGAAAAGAAAGAAGAGAAUUCAUCCGACAGGACCAGGAGAGUAUCGUGAUUCAAUUUUUUCAUUUUUUUCCCUGCUCAAGGACAGUCUGCUUUCUUCUGGAAAUUCACCACGGCGUAAUUCAGAUCCUCAGCAGAUGUGAUCAAGAUCUUAGAGUCAGAGAGACAGAGAACUCUUGGAUGCAGAAUCAGCAUCUGUCAAAGACAAACAUCAAAUCAACCUCGACCUCGAAUUUCUCUAUUUUUCUGAUUUGUAGUUGUUUCAGCAGGAGGUUUUCAUGAAGUUGUUUUGAGAGAGAAAAGUUUGCAAUGUGCAACAUGGAAACAUAGACAUUGUUUUAUAAUGAAAGUAAAAGUCUGUAAAAAUGCAAAGGAGCAGGAGUUUCACUGUGAGACCGACACCUCCUCCAGAGAGUGACGAUCACUGACAGAAUCACAGUGAAGAUCAGAAGAAGAAGCAGAGACACACUGAUGAUCAGAGAAGAGCCUGAACACACCAGAGAUUCACUCAAUCACUCUGAAGAUCUAAACUGACUGACUGACUGACAGAAAUCUGUGCGUUUGUACCCGUUACAGGAGACACAGAUGAGAUCAGUGGAGGUUCAGCUGAUGAGAAAGAUGAUGGUGAUGAUCUGAGUUUGUCUCUAAAUCACAGAAAAGGCAGUGUCACUAACAAGAAAAUAAAGUGUUUUCUUCUUACUUCAGUAACCUUUUCUCAAAAACUCUGAUGUCUUUUACACAUUGUUGACCAAGCAGAUAUGUUUCACUCACGAAACCACAAAGUGCCAACUUGUGCUUUUCAGCAACUUUAAACUCUCAGGAAGAGUUUUAAGUAAAUGUAAGCGAUGAUCCACGGCUAGGUGUGGAUGAAACGAUUAUAGCCAAAGAAACUCCUGAUGCAAAGCAGAAAAUCCUA